rnacentral:rRNA from 1 species
UACGUAGGGUGCGAGCGUUGUCCGGAAUUAUUGGGCGUAAAGGGCUCGUAGGCGGUCUGUCACGUCGAAAGUGAAAACUCAGGGCUUAACCCUGAGCCUGCUUCCGAUACGGGCAGACUAGAGGUAUGCAGGGGAGAAUGGAAUUCCUGGUGUAGCGGUGAAAUGCGCAGAUAUCAGGAGGAACACCAGUGGCGAAGGCGGUUCUCUGGGCAUUACCUGACGCUGAGGAGCGAAAGCGUGGGGAGCGAACAGG